rnacentral:sRNA from 1 species
AAAUAGCCCUGAUUGAACGAAAAGCCCGAAGUGUAGAGGGUUUGUGUAUCGGGCGGACUUGAAGUGAAAGCAGGAGUAACG